AGCCACUGGAAUCGUUCCUGCUCUAAGUUCACUUGACCAAUCAGAAAAACUCCAUGAUUUUCAUAAACCUGAAUGAUUGUUGAAGAUUACACGACCAGCCCUACAUAGGAAAGCGUCACAGAGGGUUGGUGUGGAGAGACGGGGAGGCGACGGGGCCCGGCACAUUCCAGAGCACAGAGGGGUUGCGUUUGCCCUCAGCAGGGACGGCAGACCUGUUGAACUGCUCUCAGCUGGCCUCGCUUUCAGCUCAACAGAUGUGGGAGAGAAAAGAGGUCCGUCCCACCAGAGAGACCCCAGAGAUCAGCGUUCCCAGAGACGGAGGGGAAUCCCUUUCGUUCGGGUGGGACAGCAAACUGAACUCAUAAGAACAUGUCCAGAUC